CGUAUUAUUCUGAGGACACUGUGGUAAUCAAGAACUAUCCAUAACUAAUGUAUAAAUAACUGCUUGCUUAUUUCUACAAUAAUCCAACUCAAAUUAUAUAUACACAGCAAAAAGCUUAUGAUAGAAGGCUUGCACAGAAAUCUGGAGGCAGUAUCACCUAACGACCAAACCUGGACCACCCAAAAAGCCGAAGACCCCUUCAAGACCAUCAGCCUUAGCAUAUUGCUAUCACUGCGCGCAAAAAGGCCAUUAUGGACACGAAUGUCCAGAAAGAGAAGUGUAUGACCCGUCUCCAGUAUCUCCAUUCAUCUGCUACUAUGAUGACAAAUAUGAAAUUCAGGAGAGAGAAAAGAGACUAAAACAAAAAAUAAAAGUACUCAAGAAAAAUGGGGUUAUCCCAGAGCCAUCCAAGCUACCUUAUAUAAAAGCAGCAAAUGAGAACCCCCACCAUGAUAUAAGGAAGGGCCGUGCCUCAUGGAAAAGCAACAGGUGGCCUCAAGAAAAUAAAGAAACACAAAAAGAAAUGAAGAACAAGAAUAGAAACUGGGAGAAGCACAGGAAGGCUGACAGACAUCGUGAAGUGGAUGAGGAUUUUCCCAGGGGCCCCAAAACCUACUCUUCUCCUGGCAGUUUUAAAACCCAGAAGCCUUCUAAGCCCUUUCACCGUUCAUCACAUUACCACACGUCAAGAGAAGACAA
rnacentral:sRNA from 1 species